GGAAAAAAAAAAGUGUUAUCCCGUCGCACAAACCAGGAAAAAUCCCAAAUUCAUCUCCCCCUCUGGCCCACCAUCAUGAUCUCUUCCUCAUCUUCUUCCCCAUCUUCGAUCAUCGAUUGCCUCUUCCAACGCUCCCUCGACGAUCUCAUCAAAUCUCUCCGAUCCCAGCUCGUCCCCGAAUCCAAGCUCAUCAGCAAAGCCCUUGACGAGAUCCGCCACGAGCUCAAAUCAACCGAUCUCGCCACCAAAUCCGUCGCCCUUCAGAAGCUCACCUUCCUCUCAUCCAUCCAUUCGGUGGACCCCACCUUCGCCUCAUUCCCCACCAUCGAGCUCCUCUCCUCGCCCCGCUUCUCCCACAAGAAAACUGCCUACCUCGCUGCUUCCCUCUCCUUUCACCCUGGCACUGAUGUCCUCCUCCUCAUCCCCAACCAGCUCCGGAAGGACCUCGCCUCCCCCAAUCCCUUUGAAUCUAGCCUCGCCCUCGAAUUCUUAUCUGUUGCAGCUACUCCCGAUCUUGCCCGUGAGCUCACACCCGACGUCUUCGCCCUCCUGGCGACUUCCAAACCUGCCCUCAGAAAAAAGGCCAUUGCUGUAAUUUGGAGGUUCUUCAACACGUACCCGGAUUCCGUCCGAGUCGCCUUCAAACGGUUGGUCGAGAAUUUGGAUGGCUCAGAUCCGUCGACGGUCUCAGCAGCAAUUGGGGUCUUUUGUGAGAUGGCAGCGAAGGACCCCAAGUCGUAUCUUCCGCUGGCGCCAGAGUUUUAUCGGGUUUUGGUUGAUUCAAAGAACAAUUGGAUUUUGAUCAAGGUGGUGAAGAUUUUUGGGAAAUUGGCACCAUUGGAGCCAAGGCUGGCCAAACGGGUCGUGGAUCCGAUUUGUGAGCAUAUGAGACGAACGGGUGCAAAAUCUUUGAUUUUUGAAUGUGUCCGGAUGGUUGUUUCAAGUUUGAGCGAUUUUGAAUUGGCAGUGAAGCUCGCUGUUGAGAAGAUUAGAGAGUUUUUAGUGGAUGAAGAUCCGAACCUUCGGUAUCUUGGAUUGAACGCACUUUCGAUUCUGAAAUCGACACAUUUGUGGGCUGUGAUCGAGAACAAGGAGGUGAUCAUCAAAUCAUUGAGUGAUGCGGACCCCAACAUUAGGCUUGAAUCAUUGCAUCUUGUACUGGCAAUGGUGACCGAGAGGAACGUUGCUGAAAUUUCACGGAUUUUGCUGAAUUAUGCACUUAAAUCUGACCCUGAGUUCUGUAAUGAGAUUCUAAGAUCAAUCCUGUUGACUUGCAGUAGGAAUGUCUAUGAACUGAUUGCUGAUUUUGAUUGGUAUGUUUCAAUUCUUGGGGAGAUGUCACGUCACCCACAUUGCGGACUGGGGGAAGAGAUUGAAAGGCAGCUUGUUGAUAUUGGUUUGAGGGUGAAGGAUGUGAGACCAGAGCUGGUUCGGGUUGCCCGUGAUCUUUUGAUCGACCCUGCAUUGCUUGGUAAUCCGUCUUUGUAUAGGAUAUUGUCUGCAGCUGCUUGGGUUUCUGGGGAGUACGUCGAGUUUUCGAAGAACCCAUUUGAGCUCAUGGAAGCACUGUUGCAGCCGCGUACGAAUCUCUUGCCACCAUUGGUAAGAGCUGUAUAUAUCCAAUCUGCAUUUAAAGUUCUAGUCUUUUGUUUGCAUUCAUACCUUAUGCAGACUGAAGCCAUCCCGUCAUCGCCUUCUGUGGAGUCAUUGCCAAGAAUUUCUGGUUCAGUUUCUGAAAUCCAAUGCUUAGAAGAAGAUUCUAACGCAAUGCUUUCCAAUAGAUCUACAGAAGAUGUUGCUAUAGAAAAUGAGGCGUCUCUGUCGGUUUCUUUGGACAAGACGCCUUUCACAUAUGAAUCUGUUACCUACUUGUUGAAUUUGAUCAAAAUGGGUGUGGAUCCAGUAAGCGAUGAGGUAGAGAUACAGGAGAGAGCCCGCAAUGUACUUGCCUUGAUUAAUGUACUAGACGAAAACCCUGGUUCUCUGAAUCAAAAGGGAGGCAGUUUUGAAAAUCAAGAACUGAAAACUUCUGAAAUUGUCAGACUGUUGUAUGAUACCUUUUCUGAGAAGCUAGGUCCAGUCUCUGCAAAUGCUCAAGAAAGAGUUCUUGUGCCUGAUGGGCUUAUUCUCAAUGAAAAUCUUGCAGAGUUGGAAUCUAUUUCUGCCAAUGAUAUUCCACAGUUGAGUGUAUUUUCCACCGUGGGUCAUCGACAGAAAGAGAUGGAAUCAGAACCAUCAACUGAGUCCACCUCUCUGCUGGCCGAGCACCGCAAACGACAUGGAUUAUAUUAUCUUCCUGCCGAGAAAAAUGAAACUGAAUCCAAUGAUUAUCCACCUGCUAAUAAUGACACCAAGUUGCUGGUCAAUGUAAUUGAUGCUGCUGAUGAUCUUGUAAAGCUUACUGAGGAAUCUCUAGUUCCAAAGAAGCCAAACCGUGUGAAGCCGCGGCCCGUCGUGGUAAAAUUGGAUGAGGGAGAUGAAGCUCCAUUUUCAUCCACAAAACCGGUGAAGGAUUUGAAAGAUGAUUUGCUUUCUGGUGCCGUUCGAGAUAUUCUUUGUGGUGAGGAAGGCAAAUCCAGGUCAUCACAUGCCGAGAAGUCAUCCAGGAGGAGGGGAAAGGAGAUUUCAUUAAAUGGCGAUUCUGUUACUCUGUCGAAAGAAAAUUCAGGUGAUACAGAGAAGCCCAGAAACGGAAGCCCAAGUUCUCGAACGAGCAGACAUCGUAACCGUGGUAAAGAUAAGCACACAAGUCAUCAUGAGAAUGGGGGUAAAGAAGAAAACAGUCAGAAGAGCUCACAGAAGAGUAGUCGUCAUCAUGGUAGACAUAAGACUCGUCAUAGAGCAGAUGGUAAUGUUGUCCCACAAACGCCAGUGAUACAGGAUUUCCUUUUGUAGUGGUGAGCGGUUUGCAGAUUUGUUGUGUUUUCAUUUGGGGAGAUAUUGUUGCCAUUGUAAAACCACUUGUUUUGCUGCUGAGGUUCACUUUCUAGGAUGAUCGAUAUUUUUUCUUUUGCACGGGCGGUUGAAGUGUUGGGCGUGACACAAUUUUGAAAGGAAUUGCCUCUUAUGGACAUUGCUGCAAUGCGUGCCAUGAGCUUGUCUUUCUGCAUUAACCUUGCAUUAACCUCUAAUGACAAGGGCACUGAGAGCACCUAUAUAAGCAAGUUGGUCGGAGCGAAGGAGUAGGUGCGGUUACAAGUUUUGACUAUGAAUUGGGUUUUUGGGACCCAGGAAAUCCAUUCGAUAUGUGACCUCCUUGAAAACCCGAUUGCAGUUAGCAACUGCCAGUCUCCUGACGCCAAUUGUCUUUGGGUAUUGAAUUCGUCAAAGCUUAACGGAGGAUAUAUGUACAUGCCUUCAUAUCUUAUGUGGGGCGGGCUUCAGUGGUACCAGUAGCACCAUAUGCUGAGUGGUAGCAGGAAAAUGUGGGCUCACUUGAUGUAUUCACACCAUCCACGCUGUUCUAUCAGAUGUGUCACAUCAGGAAACUUUUGAGGAACCGAAACUCAGCCGGAUCCAGAAUUAAGGUGGGCUGCCCUGCAGUGGCCCCAUCUUACAUUGUUAGCUACUUCAUAUUCUACAUUUAGGCACGACUUCAUUGUGGGUAGAGCCAUUGUUUGAAUUA